rnacentral:rRNA from 1 species
CCUUGACAUACUAAGAACUUUCCAGAGAUGGAUUGGUGCCUUCGGGAACUUAGAUACAGGUGCUGCAUGGCUGUCGUCAGCUCGUGUCGUGAGAUGUUGGGUUAAGUCCCGNAACGAGCGCAACCUUUUCCUAUUUGCCAGCGGGUCAUGCCGGGAACUUUAAGGAUACUGCCAGUGACAAACUGGAGGAAGGCGGGGACGACGUCAAGUCAUCAUGGCCCUUACGGCCAGGGCUACACACGUGCUACAAUGGUCGGUACAAAGGGUUGCUACCUCGCGAGAGGAUGCUAAUCUCAAAAAGCCGAUCGUAGUCCGGAUCGCAGUCUGCAACUCGACUGCGUGAAGUCGGAAUCGCUAGUAAUCGCGGAUCAGAAUGCCGCGGUGAAUACGUUCCCGGGCCUUGUACACACCGCCCGUCACACCAUGGGAGUUUGUUGCACCAGAAGUAGGUAGUCUAACCGCAAGGAGGACGCUUACCACGGUGUGGCCGAUGACUGGGGUGAAGUCGUAACAAGGUAAGCGUAGAUGA